ACGCAGCACGCAGGAGAGCCGAG
rnacentral:miRNA from 1 species